rnacentral:rRNA from 1 species
GACGAACGCUGGCGGCGUGCUUAACACAUGCAAGUCGAACGGGCUCUGUCUGGCUGUGUGCUGGGUGGGGUUAGUGGCGAACGGGUGAGUAAUACGUGAGUAACCUGCCCUCUUCUUUGGGAUAAGCCUUGGAAACGGGGUCUAAUACUGGAUAUUCCUGUCUGGUCGCAUGGCUGGGUGGGGAAAGUUUUUUUCGGUGGAGGAUGGGCUCGCGGCCUAUCAGCUUGUUGGUGGGGUGAUGGCCUACCAAGGCGUCGACGGGUAGCCGGCCUGAGAGGGUGACCGGCCACACUGGGACUGAGAUACGGCCCAGACUCCUACGGGAGGCAGCAGUGGGGGAUAUUGCACAAUGGGCGCAAGCCUGAUGCAGCGACGCCGCGUGGGGGAUGACGGCUUUCGGGUUGUAAACCUCUUUCGUCGGGGGACAAGGCUCUGCUUGGUGGUGGGGUUGAGGGUACCCGGUGAAGAAGCGCCGGCUAACUACGUG